GACCUCGGAUCAGGUAGGGAUACCCGCUGAACUUAAGCAUAUCAAUAAGCGGAGGAAAAGAAACCAACAGGGAUUGCCUCAGUAACGGCGAGUGAAGCGGCAACAGCUCAAAUUCGAAAUCUGGCCUUCGGGUCCGAGUUGUAAUUUGCAGAGGAUGCUUCGAGCAUGGUCUAGUCUAAGUUCCUUGGAAUAGGACGUCAUAGAGGGGGAGAAUCCCGUAUGCGACUGGGUGCCUAAGCUCAUGUGAAGCUCCUUCGACGAGUCGAGUUGUUUGGGAAUGCAGCUCAAAAUGGGUGGUAAAUUUCAUCUAAAGCUAAAUAUUGGCCAGAGACCGAUAGCGCACAAGUAGAGUGAUCGAAAGAUGAAAAGCACUUUGGAAAGAGAGUUAAAUAGCACGUGAAAUUGUUGAAAGGGAAGCGC
rnacentral:rRNA from 1 species